AGAUCGAUCUUGUGCGUCAAAAAGAGGCUUCGAAAGAAGUAUUUCUCUAGUGGAGCUACAUGCUCUGCGACACUGUUAAAUUGCGGGAAGUUCCUAGCGCUUCUCCCACCAAACAUCUUUGGAAACAAAGGUGCGGCCGAGCUAAUAGCCCUGGGUAUGGUAACAGCGUAGAAGAUGCAACAAUGGAUAAUCCGCAGCGAAGCCCUACGUCUUUUAUAAAAGAUAUGGGUAGCGUUCAGAGACUAGAUAGCAGUGGGUCUUUUAGAAAGGCUUAAGGUAUAGUCCGACCGGUGUUGAAAGACAACG
rfam:Capsicum annuum cultivar Zunla-1 unplaced genomic scaffold scaffold31563, whole genome shotgun sequence